AUUGAACGCUGGUGGCAGGCUUAACACAUGCAAGUCGAGCGGGGUGAUGGUGCUUGCACUAUCACUUAGCGGCGGACGGGUGAGUAAUGCUUAGGAAUCUGCCUAUUAGUGGGGGACAACAUUUCGAAAGGAAUGCUAAUACCGCAUACGUCCUACGGGAGGAAGCAGGGGAUCUUCGGACCUGGCGCUAAUAGAUGAGCCUAAGUCGGAUUAGCUAGUUGGUGGGGUAAGGGCCUACCAAGGCGACGAUCUGUAGCGGGUCUGAGAGGAUGAUCCGCCACACUGGGACUGAGACACGGCCCAGACUCCUACGGGAGGCAGCAGUGGGGAAUAUUGGACAAUGGGCGGAAGCCUGAUCCAGCCAUGCCGCGUGUGUGAAGAAGGCCUUAUGGUUGUAAAGCACUUUAAGCGAGGAGGAGGCUACUUUAGUUAAUACCUAGAGAUAGUGGACGUUACUCGCAGAAUAAGCACCGGCUAACUCUGUGCCAGCCGCCGCGGUAAGAC
rnacentral:rRNA from 1 species